rnacentral:lncRNA from 1 species
UGCAUCUUAUGCCUUCAACAGCUACUGGCAAAAAUACAAGAAACAUGGUGGUUCUUGCUACUUCAAUGCAGCUGCAAUGGUCACCAACCUAAAUCCAAGUAUGUCCAUAAUCUGAACCAUCAUUAGGAGCAUACACUUUUGCAGGUUGAAAUUCCACUGGCAAGAUCAAACAUGCAGAGCACAAGCACACACCACACACACAAGAUGCCCGCACGCCACAAGCACACACACAUACCACACACCACAUAACACACACACUUACGGAAGUUCUUUUCUUUGGAAUCAGCAAGUACUCCUAACAAAGUUAGGAUAGCAUCCAAAUAUAAAUAACUUAUCUUACUCCCCCUGAUUCACAGCUGCAAUGGUCACCAACCUAAAUCCAAGUAUGUCCAUAAUCUGAACCAUCAUUAGGAGCAUACACUUUUGCAGGUUGAAAUUCCACUGGCAAGAUCAAACAUGCAGAGCACAAGCACACACCACACACACAAGAUGCCCGCACGCCACAAGCACACACACAUACCACACACCACAUAACACACACACUUACGGAAGUUCUUUUCUUUGGAAUCAGCAAGUACUCCUAACAAAGUUAGGAUAGCAUCCAAAUAUAAAUAACUUAUCUUACUCCCCCUGAUUCAUAAUAUAAGCAGUUUUCGAAUUUGUGUUAGUCAAACAUUUUUAGGUUUGACCAUCGAUAUAGAAAGAAUUACCAGCUUAGACAAUAUGAAACUGACAUGACUAGUGUCAUAAUUAUAUUAAGAAUUUGUCUGAAACAACAUUUUUUUUGAAAAAAUUAUGAUCAAAGUGUUACUUUGAAAACCAUGUAAAUGCUCUAGGCUACUUAUAUUGUGAAUCACAGGCAGUACACAAAAACAUGAUCAUUGUCAGCCUGUCAUUCACUUUGUGCCGUCAUGUCAAUGCAGGUCGUAACUCAUGUAACUUUGAAGUAGUGCCCUGAUAUAACGGUGGGUGAAGCACUAGAAGACACAUUUCUUCUACUGAUCCUUCAAAUCAGAUAAAGAAAAGGGAAAAAAUGUUCACAUUGUUCGCCUUUGUGGAGGGGAUGUCAUUACUCGAAUCAGGAGGGCAAUGCCUAAUAUUGAUCCAUACUUCAGAAUGUUUCAACUCUGUGUCUCAUCUAUAAUCAGACUAUUUUCAAUUUUAGUCAUCUACCCGGUUUUGUAUCAAUACAAGUUGAGCACGUUUUCUAUGGUGCGUAAAGGGGUAGAGACCCAAACAGCUAGGACAUAAUCAAGCGCAAUAAUCACUAUGGUUAUCUGACACUUGUAGUGCAAUUAGAUUGAAUCAUUACUACAGUAAGUAGUGCCCGUGCCCGAUCUCUACAAUGUUAAAUAAAUUAUAAUCAUACAAGUUAUGGAAGCACGGUGAACCAAACUAUAACCUGAAAAAGAGGAUAUUUUGUAGAUG